rnacentral:rRNA from 1 species
CCUACGGGGUGCAGCAGUGGGGAAUAUUGGACAAUGGGCGAAAGCCUGAUCCAGCCAUGCCGCGUGUGUGAAGAAGGCCUUCGGGUUGUAAAGCACUUUCAGUGGGGAAGAAAGCCUUGGGGCUAAUACCCUCGAGGAAGGACAUCACCCACAGAAGAAGCACCGGCUAACUCCGUGCCAGCAGCCGCGGUAAUACGGAGGGUGCGAGCGUUAAUCGGAAUUACUGGGCGUAAAGCGCGCGUAGGCGGUCUGAUAAGCCGGUUGUGAAAGCCCCGGGCUCAACCUGGGAACGGCAUCCGGAACUGUCAGGCUAGAGUGCAGGAGAGGAAGGUAGAAUUCCCGGUGUAGCGGUGAAAUGCGUAGAGAUCGGGAGGAAUACCAGUGGCGAAGGCGGCCUUCUGGACUGACACUGACGCUGAGGUGCGAAAGCGUGGGUAGCAAACAGGAUUAGAUACCCUAGUAUC